AAACAAUGAUGAAGGCACUAUCUUUGUAAAUCCUUAAACCUCUCCCAAGCUUUAUAUAAAGACUCAUCAUCCAUUUGGUAAAAAGUAGCGAUCUCGUUUCUCAACUU